UACAGAGGGGGCAAGCGUUGUUCGGAAUUACUGGGCGUAAAGGGCGCGUAGGCGGCCUUCUAAGUCGAACGUGAAAUCCCCGGGCUCAACCCGGGAACUGCGUCCGAUACUGGAAGGCUUGAAUCCGGGAGAGGGAUGCGGAAUUCCAGGUGUAGCGGUGAAAUGCGUAGAUAUCUGGAGGAACACCGGUGGCGAAAGCGACUCUCUGGACGGCAACUGACGCUGAGGCACGAAAGCGUGGGGAGCAAACAGG
rnacentral:rRNA from 1 species